GCCCACCUGUGUGUAAAGGACGUUUAGUUAUUAAUUUACUGUUUGGUUUGACAUCCGGAAAUUCCGGGAAUAUGACAAAAAUCCUCUUAGCCAAAUUCCUGAGGCACUACGGUGUAGUUGGGAGAAAACUUGGGACCAAUAAGUCGGCAUGGUUGAGACGUCAGACUGCUAAACUUUUUAGUGUCAAGGCCCAGACAGCACACUUGAUCUUGGAAGAUGGCACCAAAAUGAAUGGCUUUUCUUUUGGUGAGGAUAUCUCAGUAGCUGGAGAACUGGUCUUCAAUACCGGCCUUGUAGGCUACCCCGAGGCCUUGACUGACCCCAGCUAUAGGGGUCAGAUCCUGACGUUGACCUACCCUAUUGUAGGGAACUACGGGGUACCCAACACGCAAGAGCUAGAUGAACUUGGUCUGAGAAAACAUGUGGAGUCUGAGCGCAUCCAGAUAUCUGGUCUUCUGGUUCAAAACUACAGUCACGAGUACAGCCACUGGAACUCUGUUAAGUCUCUGGGUCAUUGGCUUCAAGAAGAGAAGGUUCCUGCACUUUUUGGGAUAGAUACCAGAAUGUUGACCAAAAUCAUCAGAGACAAGGGCACGGUUCUGGGAAAGAUUGAAUUUGAUGGGCAACCUGUUGAGAUAUCUGAUCCCAAUCAACAAAACCUGGUGGCGGAGGUCUCAACAAAAGAAACUCGGGUUUUUGGGAAAGGAAACCCUGUCAAAGUGGUGGCAGUUGAUUGCGGUAUCAAACAUAACAUAAUUCGCUUGCUGGUGAAGCGAGGUGCAGAAGUUCACUUGGUACCCUGGGACCAGGACUUGCUGAGUCUAAAUUAUGACGGCCUCUUCAUCUCCAAUGGACCAGGAGAUCCUUCUCUGGCUGAGACACUUAUCUGCAAUGUCCGUAAGGUGUUGGAGAGUGAUCGCCCUGAGCCAGUGUUUGGAAUCUGUAUGGGCAAUCAGAUCACUGCUCUGGCUGCUGGAGCCAAGUCCUACAAACUACCAAUGGGCAACAGAGGCCAGAAUCAGCCAGUACUGAAUGUGAUGACAGGCCAGGCCUUCAUUACGGCACAGAACCAUGGCUACGGCAUAGAUAGUGAGUCCCUGCCCCCAGGGUGGAACCCGCUUUUCAUCAACGCCAAUGAUGGCACAAAUGAGGGCAUCAUGCACAACACUAAACCUGUUUUCACGGCUCAGUUCCACCCAGAAGCUAAAGGCGGCCCCACUGACACAGAGUUCCUUUUCGACACCUUUAUGGCCUUGAUGAAAAAAGAAAAGGACGCCAACAUAAUGUCAGUUAUGCCGAAGAAGCCAUACGUCCCUCCCAGAGUGCAGGUGUCCAAGGUGUUGGUACUGGGCUCUGGUGGGCUGUCUAUCGGUCAGGCUGGUGAGUUUGACUACUCCGGUUCUCAGGCCAUCAAGGCUAUGAAAGAGGAGAAUCUGAAGACAGUGCUUAUGAAUCCAAAUAUAGCUUCAGUCCAGACCAAUGAAGUGGGCACCAAGCAGGCUGAUUCAGUUUACUUCUUGCCUGUCACGUCACAAUUUGUUACCGACGUGAUUAAGACAGAGCGCCCUGAUGGCAUCCUGCUUUCCAUGGGUGGACAGACUGCCCUCAACUGUGGAGUGGAAUUGUUUCAGCAGGGUGUUCUGGAGCAGUAUGGAGUGAAAGUCUUGGGAACACCAGUAGAGUCCAUCAUGGCCACAGAAGACAGGCAUAUAUUUGCUGAAAAACUAAUGGAGAUCAACGAAAAGAUUGCACCCAGUAUUGCUGUGGAGUCUGUGUGUGAUGCCUUGAAAGCUGCAGAGCAGAUUGGUUAUCCAGUGAUGCUGCGGUCUGCCUACGCCCUGGGAGGGCUGGGUUCUGGUCUGUGUGCCAACAAGAACAAACUGGAGGAAACCGCCAAUAAGGCUCUUGCCAUGACUAGUCAGAUCUUGGUGGAGAAGUCCUUGCUUGGUUGGAAGGAAGUGGAAUAUGAGGUGGUGAGAGACGUGGUGGAUAAUUGUGUUACCGUCUGCAAUAUGGAGAACUUUGACCCACUUGGCAUACACACAGGUGAUUCUAUCGUAGUGGCACCGAGCCAGACAUUGUCCAACGAGGAGUACCACAUGCUUCGUGAAACAGCAAUCAAAGUGGUUCGCCAUCUUGGUAUUAUAGGAGAAUGUAACAUCCAGUAUGCGCUCCACCCAUCAUCCCUGGAGUACUGCAUCAUUGAGGUUAAUGCUCGCCUCUCAAGAAGCUCAGCCCUUGCAUCCAAAGCCACUGGAUACCCGUUGGCAUUUGUGGCCGCUAAGCUAGCUUUGGGGAUCCCCUUGACCGACAUCAACAAUUCUGUAUCUGAAAAGACUACUGCCUGCUUUGAGCCCAGUUUAGACUACAUUGUCACAAAGAUCCCUCGCUGGGACCUGGACCGUUUUCAGGGCAUGUCUAGUGAAAUAGGUAGUGCCAUGAAGAGCGUUGGAGAGGUGAUGGCAGUGGGACGUACUUUUGAGGAGAGCAUGCAGAAGGCCCUGAGGAUGUGCCAUCCGUCAGUGGAUGGCUUUGUGCCCCAACUGCCUCUCAAAAAAGCCUGGGCAAACACCCGCAGCCUGCAACAGGAGCUCGCUGUGCCAUCCAGCACCCGAAUUUUCUCCAUUGCUAAGGCCCUCCACAGCGGUAUGAGUGUAGAUCAGAUCCACCAGCUGACAGCCAUCGACAAGUGGUUCCUCCACAAACUCCACAAGAUUACGCAGAUGGAGCAGCACCUUGCAAACUACAAGAGUCUUUCAGUGCCUAGAGGCCUGCUGCUGCAGGCCAAGCAGGAUGGCUUCUCCGACCGACAGCUUGGUCAGAUUUUGGGUAUGAAAGAGGAAGAAGUUCGACAGAUGAGGCUCAGACAUGAUAUCAGACCCUGGGUUAAACAGAUCGAUACACUGGCAGCAGAGUAUCCUGCCAUAACUAACUACCUGUACUGCACCUAUCAUGGUCUGGAGCAUGACUUGGCCUUUAACGACAAUGGAAUUAUGGUUCUUGGUUGUGGGCCCUAUCACAUUGGUAGCAGUGUUGAGUUUGACUGGUGUGCAGUGUCAAGCAUCAGAGCCUUGAGACAGAUCGGCAAGAAGACCGUGGUGGUAAACCAUAACCCAGAGACUGUGAGCACGGAUUUUGAUGAGUGUGAUCGUCUCUACUUUGAAGAGCUGACACUGGAGCGCAUACUAGACAUCACCCAACAGGAGGGUUGCACUGGCACCAUUGUAUCGGUUGGGGGACAGAUCCCCAACAAUCUUGCAGCCCCCCUGCUACUUAACGGGGUGAAAAUUCUGGGCACAAGUCCCCUACAGAUUGACCGUGCUGAGGAGCGCUCUGUCUUCUCCAGGAUCUUGGAUGACCUUGGUGUGGCCCAAGCCCCAUGGAAGGCCCUCAACUCCCUGGAAGAUGCCUUCGUUUUUGCUAACCAGGUGGGCUACCCCUGUCUACUUCGCCCAUCCUAUGUUCUCAGUGGCUCUGCAAUGAAUGUUGCACAUGGAGAAGAAGAGAUGAAGCGCUUCUUGAAGGAGGCCACCCAAGUAUCCCAGGAGCAUCCUGUCGUUAUUACCAAAUUCAUUUGUGGAGCCCGGGAGGUGGAAGUGGAUGCUGUUGCCAAAAGUGGAAAGGUGCUGGUCCAUGCAACAACAGAGCACGUAGAGGAUGCCGGUGUUCAUUCAGGAGAUGCUACCCUAAUGCUGCCAACACAAACCAUUAGCCAAGGGUCCUUAGAAAAGGUCAAGGUGGCCACCCACAAAAUAGCUAAAGCGUUUGAGAUAUCAGGGCCAUUUAACACUCAGUUCUUGGUAAAAGGCAAUGAUGUCAUGGUGAUAGAGUGUAACCUGCGGGCAUCACGCUCCUUUCCUUUUGUAUCAAAAACACUUGGGGUGGACUUUAUCAAUGUGGCAACCAAAGUGAUGGUUGGAGAGCCUGUGGAUGAGGCCAUCCUACCCUCGCUAGAGAAACCCAUCAUUCCUGUAGACUACGUGGGCAUCAAGGCACCUAUGUUCUCUUGGCCCCGCCUGAGUGAUGCAGAUCCUGUACUUCGCUGUGAGAUGGCUUCUACUGGAGAAGUGGCCUGUUUUGGACCAAACAUUUAUUCAGCCUUUCUAAAGGCGAUGCUUUCUACAGGCUUUAAGCUUCCACAGAAGGGAGUGCUAAUUGGGAUUCAGCAUUCAUUUCGACCUCAUUUCCUGGCCACUGCCUAUCAACUGAAAGAGGAUGGCUUCAAGCUUUAUGCUACUGAAGCCACUUCGGCUUGGCUAUGCGCAAAUGAAGUACCGGCCACUCCAGUAGCUUGGCCCACUGAGAAUGGAGGACAAACCAGUUUGCCCAGUAUCAAGAGUUUGAUCAGCGAGGGUCAUAUUGACCUGGUAGUGAACCUGCCUACCAACAAUACACUCCACUGGAAGGAUAACUUCCUCAUUCGCAGGAUGGCUGUUGACCAUGGCGUACCCCUCAUCACUAAUUACCAGGUGGUGAAACUAUUUGCUGAGGCAAUUUGCUAUGCGAGUGAGCUGGACUCUACCAGUCUCUUCCACUACAGGCAGAGAGAAAGCCAACACAGAGGAUCCGGGCAGCAAGGCUAGAAGCUCAACGCUUUAAAGUAAAGGCUCCAAAAUGGCACUCAACUGGAGUCUAUUGAGAACCUUCUCUCUGAUGAGCUAGCAAGUAGAGGUUAGCGGGAACAGAACAACACUGAUACAGAAAGUACCCCUGCCCCUUGCCUGCUCGGCCUUCGUCCAACGCACUGCUUUAAUGGAAACAACAUUUCUUUCACUUUGUUCAUCAAAAGCUGUUUUAUCUGUGCUUUCUGUAUAGGCCGGCCCUGAGCUAAAGAAGUACACAGAUGAGUGAGUGCUUUAGGUCCUUUUUUAAAGAUAAGCCAUGUGAAUAGAGCGGCUAAUUAGAGAACUAUAUAGGGACAAUACCCAAUUGCUGUUUAUGUCACUGAACCGCUUGGGAUUCCCACAGCAAAGGUAAUAACAACACUGUGAAAUAUUUAAACUAAUUAGCACAAGUACACUGAAACUUAAAUUAAAUUGUCAGUUUCCUCUUCAGAGAAUGACUGACACCGAGCUUGAUCAAUUAAUUUCAAGACCCCUCCUUUUUUUUGAUGAAAAGCAUGAUGUUGUUUCUGUUGCAUAAGUGGGCAUCUUUGAUGUGAAUCUAGGCCAAGAAAAUAUUUCACCAUAGGCCACUGUUUGCUCUGAUCCCAAUUCUCUUUUCUGAAAAUAUCUGUCUGACCUCCCCUUGAAAAACUCCUCAACAUUGUUAUCGCGAUCUUUCUUUAUGCGACUGCGAAAAUCUGUUGUUUUUUUUUUUGCAGCAGCACGAUUAGAUACCACCAUCAAUGCUGCAGAAGUCCUCUGUGAUUAUAAAAGUGUAGGAGUUAGAGCAUAGCAGGUAUGACAGUCUCACAGUGGCAGCAGUGCCCACAGGGCUAAUGGCUGCUUGAACCACAGAUGUGUCGUUGGUUUCGCACUGCAGGAGAUUAGUGAAGAAUGCAGGCCACACCAAAUUGAAAAAAGAAUGAAAUUGUCUCAGUGGAAACAACCAAGAAUGGUAUGCACUUAGCUGUAACCCACUAUGAGGUCACUGAGUUGCAGAGAAUGGCAAAAAAAUUAGUGUGAGGUACAUCCAUGACUGAUGUUCCGCCUGGGCUCGGACCAGGGUUUUCAGAAUGAGAGUUGAGAGCACUUGGCAGCAAGCUAAAAAGCCCAGACUGUCAACUUCUUAAUGUGUCCGAGAGUGAUGUUUACCAACGUAAAUCCGCACCGCAUGCAUUACAGUCACCCCCCUAAAACCUCACUCUCAUUUAUGUCAUGACCCAGGGCUUGAACGAUGGUCCACAGUUUUUUUUUGUCUUGAGAGCAUUAGGCAUCCAACUAAAAGCCCAAACUUUUAUUCUUAAGGUGAUAAACAGUGUGGUUUACCAACAAACAUCCACACAGCCUCACUCGCUGGCACAUAUUAUACUCAUCCCCCUAAACCUCACUCUCAUCGGUGCUUGAACCAUGGUGCACCAAAUGAGAAUUGCCUUAGGCAUUGAGCUAUGAGCAAUGAGCCCAGCCUGUCAACUCAUUCAUUCAUUCAUUCAUUCACAGGGCACAUAUAGACAAACAACCAUUCACACUCACAUUCAUACCUAUGGACAAUUUGGGGUCGCCAAUUAACCUAGCAUGUUUUUGGAAUGUGGGAGGAAACCAGAGUACCGGGAGAAAAACCCACGCAUGCACGGGGAGAACAUGCAAACUCCACAUAGAGAUGGCCGAGGGUGGAAUCGAAUUCGGGUCUCCUAGCAGUGUGGCCUGCGCGCUAACCACUCAUCCACUGUCAACUCAAUAUUCAGCAAUACUAAGUGUCACCAGUAGUGGCAACUGGCACCAGUUGCAUAAGGAAUAAUUAAGGAAUCAUUUUCAUUCACACAGUUUGUAAAGCCAAUCUGAAUCUAUCGGUACAUUCUAACGUUCGCAAAAAUCCUGGUGUCAUGCACAAUCAAGCAAUAACUGAGCAAUAGGGUGUUUGUGAUGAAAAAAGAAAUCAACAGCAACAACAUUCUAAGCCUGCAGCAACAUCGCUUCACAACUUGAGCAGAAAAUGAGCUCUUGAUAAUGUAGUAACAAACGGUAUUGAUUACAUGCCCUAUGGACAAUUAGCCAACAGCAUCUUAUUGACUGACUACACAGGCAGCAUGCUGAGUCGUGUAAAGGCCCUUUCAGGUGUUUAACCAAAGCCCCCAAGCCUCCAGUCUUUUGCAUUUCUCAAUCCAGUUUCACUUAUUAUGUAUGGCAUGAAAUAUUAUUUUAGCUCAGAAUUAUUUGGGAAACACCAAGACACCGAGACACCAAGUGUGUGUUUCUGUGACUCUUCCAGUCUCUCUGUAUCUCUGUUCCAACCUGCUGAUGACACUCUGUGAUACUGAGUGUUCUAGUCUAGACUAGUGUUCAGUCUGUAACUGAAAGUUAAGCUUGUGUCUGAGCGUCUGACUCAAACUGGGUUUAAGUAUGUUAAUUACUAUCUUUUCUUAGUACUUUUGUUUAUGUGUUAUCCAUGUGUUUUGUGCAACUCUAGUUGUGCUAUGUGAGGUGGUGUCAUGAAAUACACCGAGCUAUACAUAUAAUAAUAAUAUCUAACAUGACUGUUUAAAUACCAAUUCUAAUUUCAGCUAGACAUUUAUUGUUUGAUUCAUGGAUCACACACCGUGUUAGACUUUAAGUUGUACAAAAAGUACUGAAGCAUUGAACAGAUGGGACAAGUCUAUUUCAAAUCUGAUAGAGGAGGUCAAAUUAAAUUCACCCAUAAAAGGUUAUAGUGCAUUUAGGCUUAAUCUGAAAUUUUAAAUUGAUUUUAUAAAUAUAAAAAUAAAAAUAAAACUACAUUUUAUCUGUAUAUAUAAGAACAGGAAGUCCUUACAAAAUAAGGGAUUAAAAAGAAAAAGAAACCAAACGGUCACGCAGGAUAAAUCCCAGCUCGUGACAGUACCCACCCCUUAAGGCCAGAUCCCAGGCUUCCUAAAAAGUCCAAAUUCAAAGAGGGAUGGGUGAUGGGCGGACUGGUGGUGGAUCGUCAGUGGGACCCCUCUGGGGGACAGCCUGGACAGUGAGUGUGGAGAAGGAGGUUGGACCCCUCCGGGAGACGGCAAAGACAGUGUGCAUGGUGGACCUGGCAGGACCCCUCUGGUAGACGUCCAGAAUGGCAUGUGAGGCGAAGCCAUUAGGGAGACCCUCUGUAGUGUGGCAAAGGAGACAGGACCCUCCGGGGGUCAUCCUGAACAGCAGGUCUGGUGGGUGAAGCCAACAGCGAAAGCCUUCCGGAAGACGGCCAGGACGGUGAGCGAGGUGGAGACGAUGGGAAGAGGACCCCGCUGGAAGCUUGGCCGUCGAGGGACUGGAGAUGGACCGCUGCAGGUCGUGGGAGAGCAUUGGAGCACGACCAUGGAGCAGGUGCAGAAAGUGGCUACUCCAGCUCCUGCCAGGAUGGGUUUGAGAAGAUGUGUGGCAGGCUUAGAGUGGGUAAGACGCUUGAGAAGCACUGGAAGCUAACCAGAAGAGAAGAAGAAGAGCAGAAUAUGAGAGACGAGACCCGAUUGCAGCGACAGGAUACUAACUAAGGACAGUAACAGAGGCAAUGCUCCAACAAAGAAAGAUGCCACCAUCUGAACUAAAUAAUCAAGACCAAAUCAGGAACACGUGCAUUGGAACAGGUAAGCAAAAGUAGGUAGAAACAAAAUGUAACAGAGCAGGAAGUUAUUAUAAAAUAAGGGCAUAGAAACAUUAAUCAUGUCAUUAUGAGUUCUAAAUUUCAUUUUGUAGGUGCAAUAGUAUGCAAUAUUACACAGCCAAAAGAAGGUCACUAAUGGGAAGAAACAACUUGCAUCAUAGUGUUUUGACUGACACUUCAUAUCUACGAUGCUUCCAAUCUGAAAGACAAGACAGGGAGCGAAGUCUUGAGGAUAAUUUGAAGUGACACUGCACAACGUUGGUAUGAUUUGUUAGGCUACUUCGUUAUUAUAUAUAUUAUAUAUAUAUACAGCGGAACCUUGGUUAGUGUCAAUCAGUUACAGGGGGUCUGAUUUAAGCUAAAAUGUACCCAAGCACACCAAUUUCUUCCACCUUGAUUUAAGACGUGACUGUUGACAAAGAUGGCUUAAAACACAAAAAGGCAAAUAAAAAGCUAAACACACACAGUUAUUCCCUUUGAGGGAUAUUCUUGAUGACUGAGAGACUAUUUGUCUGUCAAAUUAGGACAAUUCAAAGUGUACAACCUACGGGGCAUUGGACUUUUCAAAUUCCAGAAUAAUAAGUCAUGGAAGUGAUGAUUAUUUAUUUGAUAAAGAGCUCCAGGCUCACAUAUGUCAAAGCUGAAUUUGUGAAAGAAUGAAUUUGACCAUUUUCAUAUCAACCACCCAGCAGCAUGGUGGAAGCUUAACCCCAGAUUGUCCAUUUCAGGUCCGCCCCCACUGCGUUGUAUAAUCCGCUAACCCUCACCCAAUGGCCCCUCUUUGUCCUUGCUUAAAACGAGGACAUUUUUUUUCUGCUUAAGCUCUCCACUGACCCCAUGAACUCAAAAUGACAUUUUCCCGGGUAAUCGUUGCUAUUUCAGUUGAGCCACAUUCCGUUUUAUCCAAAGUUGCAUUUUUUUGUUUGAAAUUUUGCCUUUUACUUAACACAAUUGGUCCUUGCAUGACAGAGACUCUAUCAUUAUGUGUCCAUCAGUGGCUGUUAUGGAUCAGGUCCAUGCCCACACACUCAAUCAAGCUAUCAUUCCAGAGACUUGUUGUUUAUGGUUUUGUAUAUCCCUCUAAAAGCAAGUCAGGCAUAUCUUAAAGGUGGGACCAUACUCCAUAUUUAUGAAAUUGGCUCUGUGUGAAAUUGAUUUUUGCCUAAUGGAUCCCUGCAUGGGUGCUCCUCCUGAUACCGCUGCCUCAGCUUAUUGGCAUUGGAGUCGCACGAAGGACGAAAGGGGAAGAGAUAAAUAAACGCAAAAAUAAUGGCUUGAAAAUUAAAGGGAA